CACCAAAAAAAAAUUAUGGGGGGGUGCAAUUAUGGGAAAUGACAUGGAGCAGACGGAACUUUCCAUUCAUUCAUGACGCAUUGAUUCAUCUGCUGCUGAAGAGAGCUGUUUCACUUUGCGACUCGUUAAUGAUCCUUCGUCCCCAAGGUCGGAUGAUCGAUGCUGACAUCCGGCGCGGGUUUGAAGAGCUCGCUGCAGGACGACGAGAGACCCUCGGAGAGAUACCGAGUCAUCCAGAGAGGAAUUAAGAUGUGUUUGUCUCAGAGGGAAUGAGCGCACGAAGACACCCAGUGCCAACCACACUAAAUUCUUUCACAGUCUUCUGGAUGACGAUGUUCUAGAAGACUUGAGGUUCCUCAAAACGUCAUGGGUCAUGAGGGAAACCGGAGCCUAGCAUGGGCACAAGGCGUGGGACAGUCUGGACAGGGUGCCAACCCAUCACAGAGCACAAUCACGGAGAACAUGCAAACACAGCGUACACAUGGUGGAGGCGGGGAACAGGCAAAUUUGGCAUGUAUGGCAGCAAUGAAUUUGUAGGUAGGUAUCCAUUCCUCUGAUGAACCCUCUGCCCCAGCUUUAUGAGUUUUGUAAGCACAUCUGUCAGCACUACAGUACACAUCCUUUUGCCUGCAUGAAUGAAAGAAA